GGAGUCUGGACCGUGUCUCAGUUCCAGUGUGGGGGACCUUCCUCUCAGAACCCCUACCGAUCGUCGGCUAGGUGGGCCGUUGCCCCGCCUACUACCUAAUCGGACGCAUCCUCAUCCAAUGCCGAUGAAUCUUUAAUCACUAAGGGAUGUCCCUAAAUGAUGCCAUCGGGUAUUAAUCUUUCUUUCGAAAGGCUAUCCCCGAGCAUUGGGCAGAUUGGAUACGUGUUACGCACCCGUGCGCCGGUCGCCAUCAGAGCCAGCAAGCUGACUCCAUGCUGCCCCUCGACUUGCAUGUGUUAAGCCUGUAGCUAGCGUUCAUC
rnacentral:rRNA from 1 species